rnacentral:rRNA from 1 species
UACGUAGGUGGCAAGCGUUGUCCGGAAUUAUUGGGCGUAAAGCGCGCGCAGGCGGUCUUUCAAGUCGAGUGUGAAAGCCCCCGGCUCAACUGGGGAGGGUCAUUCGAUACUGAUCGACUGGAAGGCAGGAGAGGGAAGCGGAAUUCCCGGUGUAGUGGUGAAAUGCGUAGAUAUCGGGAGGAACACCAGUGGCGAAGGCGGCUUCCUGGCCUGUUCUUGACGCUGAGGCGCGAAAGCUAGGGGAGCAAACGGG